rnacentral:rRNA from 1 species
GACGAACGCUGGCGGCGUGCCUAAUACAUGCAAGUAGAACGCUGAAGGAGGAGCUUGCUUCUCUGGAUGAGUUGCGAACGGGUGAGUAACGCGUAGGUAACCUGCCUGGUAGCGGGGGAUAACUAUUGGAAACGAUAGCUAAUACCGCAUAAGAGUAGAUGUUGCAUGACAUUUACUUAAAAGGUGCAAUUGCAUCACUACCAGAUGGACCUGCGUUGUAUUAGCUAGUUGGUGGGGUAACGGCUCACCAAGGCGACGAUACAUAGCCGACCUGAGAGGGUGAUCGGCCACACUGGGACUGAGACACGGCCCAGACUCCUACGGGAGGCAGCAGUAGGGAAUCUUCGGCAAUGGACGGAAGUCUGACCGAGCAACGCCGCGUGAGUGAAGAAGGUUUUCGGAUCGUAAAGCUCUGUUGUAAGAGAAGAACGAGUGUGAGAGUGGAAAGUUCACACUGUGACGGUAUCUUACCAGAAAGGGACGGCUAACUACGUGCCAGCAGCCGCGGUAAUACGUAGGUCCUGAGCGUUGUCCGGAUUUAUUGGGCGUAAAGCGAGCGCAGGCGGUUAGAUAAGUCUGAAGUUAAAGGCUGUGGCUUAACCAUAGUACGCUUUGGAAACUGUUUAACUUGAGUGCAAGAGGGGAGAGUGGAAUUCCAUGUGUAGCGGUGAAAUGCGUAUAUAUAUGGAGGAACACCGGUGGCGAAAGCGGCUCUCUGGCUUGUAACUGACGCUGAGCUCGAAAGCGUGGGGAGCAAACAGG